UUUAUCGGAGAUGGGGGUUAGAAACGGAAAAGGUCAGCUAUAGCUACCCCUGGUAAGAGUUUUAUUUAAUUAGGAAAAUAAAGAAACACCCUUCUUUCCAAAAUUCAACAUUCUUGUGCUUCCAACACAACAUUUAGUUUACACUCGCCUAUUGGGAAGAUAAUGUGUGUUCUUGGGAAGUAUUUUUAGAAACCACAUGCUUCUGCCUGUCAGGGGCCAACAGCUGAGAAAGUGCUAAGCAGCAUAGCUGGUAUGCAACACACAAGAAGAGUCUAUGCUAUCUGCUUUCUUUUAAAAGAAAUGAAACAAUGCUACGUUUGUUUGACACAAGAGACGUGUGUGUGGCUGUAUUUUGGAAGAUCACAAACUGAAAAUAUACUCCUUGCAGCACAGCAGGUGCUCACAAGACACCAACUGAACUGAUGGUAGAAGCUAGUAGAAGGAGUUGGAAGGUUUCAGAGAAGUCUGGCACCACCUUCUGCAGCAGACGUGACAACUUUGCUCAUCUCUUGGGUCAAUGCUAGGUUAUGCUCAAGCCAAUAGCAGCCCGUCCAAGAGUGUAGAAAGGUACAACUAUGGUUUUUAAGACAAGUCUUUACACCAUCCCUGCUGCAUUACCUUACAGCAGGGAUUAACCUGUGACCUUCCAGAAGUUGUCAAACUACAGCAUCUAAUUACCGAUCAUGCUGCUCCAAUUUUGCAUUUCUAUAUAUUUGGAAGAAAUCCCAAGAUUAAAAAGGAGAAAAUGGAAGAGACACCCUAAAUUGGAAUAAUUGUCUUGCCAAAAAUAAUUGAAGAGCAGAAGAUUGUGAAAUGCCAUCCAGGGCACUGGCUCCAAAGCCUGGACUUGACCUGUUGGAGAAGAGCUGGGAUUUAUUACUGAAUUUGUCUAUUAUACCACUGGUACAGACAUAUUCUACUAAUUUAAGAUGUUGAUUGCAUUCUUAUGUCGGGUCAGAGAGAACUCAGUAAAACAGCCCCAUCAUGUGGUGAAGCAUCAGUCAGCCACUGACCUAAAAAUCUUCAGAAUCUGCCAUGUCAAUACUUGGAAUGGCUUUGUUCUGCUGAACAAGAAUGGUACUGUAAAAAGAAGAAAUGGAAUACUGGCGCCAAUUUAACUAAGUUUAUUGUGAUCACCAAAAGCAAAGUGAGGUUCUUAAUUCCCAUCAGCUGUUUGAUUUGAUUCAGUCAAAACAAAGACACCGACUAUGCUGCAAUGCUCUCCUUCAGUCAGAUUGUUGGAAGAUAAUAUAAUCAAACUAUGUGUGGUGAGAUCUUGGCUUUUGGCUGCCAUUCAUCAGAUUGCAUCAGUCACAGCUUUGUAUACUGUACCUACUAGGAGUGAUCAAACAAGUCUGGUAGACAUUGUUUUAUCUUGCUUAAAUUAGGUAGGUAUUCUGUCUGGAAUUGGGCUGUUGCUAGGCUCCUAAUAACACAAACACAAAGCUUUCUGCAUAAUAUCUUAUAAUCUAUAUAGAGUCUCAUCCACCAUAAAUUGGCCAGCAGAACGUUGGAUAAGCGAAUAUGUUGGAUAAUAAGGAGAGAUUAAGGAGAAGCCUAUUAAACAUCAAAUUAGGUUAUGAUUUUACAAAUUAAGAACCAAAACAUCAUGUUAUACAACAAAUUUGACAGAAAAAGUAGUUCAAUAUGCAGUAAUGCUACGUAGUAAUUACUGUAUUUAUGAAUUUAGCACCAAAAUAUCAUGGUAUAUUGAAAACAUUGACUACAAAAAUGCGUUGGAUAAUCCAGAACGUUGGAUAAGCGAAUGUUGGAUAAGUGAGACUCUACUGUACUAUAUAAUUAUAUUUAUUUAUUUAUAUCCCGCUUUUCUCCCUCACGGGACCCAAAGCGGCUUACAACAUAUUAAAAUCACAUAACAACAAUCAGAGUACAUCAAUAAUAUAAACAUAAUAGGAUAAACAGAUUAAGAAAAAUGACUACAGUAUACAUUCAAGUUCAUGAGGCAUCAUAUUGAGACAUAUAUUGCACUCUACACCAGUCCAUAACAUAUGAUGUUCCUGUCAAGAAAUAGCUUUCUUUUUCUUUCUUUUUUUCGUGUCAGGGGCAAUUUGAGUCGCUUCUGGAGUGUGAGAAUUGGCUGUCUGCAAGGAUAUUGCCCAGGGGAUGUUUUGAUGUUUUACCAUCCAUGUGGGAGGCUUCUCUCAUGUCCCCGCAUGGAGCUGGAGCUGAUAGAGGGAGCUCAUCCACGCUCUCCCCGGGUGGGAUUCGAACCUGGCAACCUUCAGGUCAGCAACCCAACCUUCAAGUCACGAGGCUUUAGUCCACUACACCACCGGAGGUUCCUAAUAGUUUUCUAAGAUCUACAGAGAUAACUUGCAGAAACACCUCAGCAAGCGAGAGCCCAAAAAUGGCAGGCUAAAACCCAGAACCUCAAUCAGUGGCUGACGCCGCAAGAGAGACUCCCUCCUGGGCACACAGAAGACUGGGCAACUUGGAAGGCACUGAACAGACUGUGCUCUGGCACCACGAGAUGCAGAGCCAACCAUAAGAAAUGGGUCUACAAAGUGGAGCCCACAACAUGCGAGUGUGGAGAAGAGCAAACCACUGAUCACCUAUUAGAUAUUCCACCAUAAAACUAAACACUUUUAAAGAGGAACUCCCCAUUCAAGCAAUGACAUUACUUUAAAAUACAUGUUUUAUUGAAUCAUGGUCUGAAUUCUGUUGAUAGUCCCAAUUUGAUCAGAUCAAAUACUUAGAUCAAUAAUAUUCAUAUUAAGUGUAUUUACAUUGAUUCCUGGGAUCAAUAACAUUUAUUCUACACUCAAGAACUGUCCUAGUUGUGACUGCCAAUAAAAUUUAGUGUUAAAUGUGAUUGGUG